CUCUCUGUAGCUCAGUUGGUUAGAGCGCUGCACCGGAAUCACAGGGCCGCAGAUUCAAUUCCUGCCAGAGGGC
rnacentral:tRNA from 1 species